rnacentral:siRNA from 1 species
UCAACUAAUGAUAUUCAUGAGCCA